UACGUAGGGGCCUAGCGUUGUCCGGAUUUAUUGGGCGUAAAGAGCUCGUAGGCGGUUCGGUAAGUCAGGUGUGAAAUCUCCACGCUCAACGUGGAGGCGCCACCUGAAACUGCCGUGACUCGAGUCCGGUAGGGGAGUGUGGAAUUCCCGGUGUAGCGGUGAAAUGCGUAGAUAUCAGGAGGAACACCGGUGGUGCAGACGGCUCUCUGGACCGUAACUGACGCUGAGACACGAAAGCGUGGGUAGCAAACAGG
rnacentral:rRNA from 1 species